rnacentral:rRNA from 1 species
AGUGAACGCUGGCGGUAGGCCUAACACAUGCAAGUCGAACGGCAGCACAGUAAGAGCUUGCUCUUACGGGUGGCGAGUGGCGGACGGGUGAGGAAUACAUCGGAAUCUACUUUUUCGUGGGGGAUAACGUGGGGAAACUUACGCUAAUACCGCAUACGACCUACGGGUGAAAGCAGGGGAUCUUCGGACCUUGCGCGAUUGAAUGAGCCGAUGUCGGAUUAGCUAGUUGGCGGGGUAAAGGCCCACCAAGGCGACGAUCCGUAGCUGGUCUGAGAGGAUGAUCAGCCACACUGGAACUGAGACACGGUCCAGACUCCUACGGGAGGCAGCAGUGGGGAAUAUUGGACAAUGGGCGCAAGCCUUAUCCAGCCAUACCGCGUGGGUGAAGAAGGCCUUCGGGUUGUAAAGCCCUUUUGUUGGGAAAGAAAAGCAGCAGGUUAAUACCCCGCUGUUCUGACGGUACCCAAAGAAUAAGCACCGGCUAACUUCGUG